rnacentral:rRNA from 1 species
GACGAACGCUGGCGGCGUGCUUAACACAUGCAAGUCGAACGGAAAGGCCCUGCUUUUGUGGGGUGCUCGAGUGGCGAACGGGUGAGUAACACGUGAGUAACCUGCCCUUGACUUUGGGAUAACUUCAGGAAACUGGGGCUAAUACCGGAUAGGAGCUCCUGCUUCAUGGUGGGGGUUGGACAGUUUCGGCGGUUGGGGAUGGACUCGCGGCUUAUCAGCUUGUUGGUGGGGUAGUGGCUUACCAAGGCUUUGACGGGUAGCCGGCCUGAGAGGGUGACCGGCCACAUUGGGACUGAGAUACGGCCCAGACUCCUACGGGAGGCAGCAGUGGGGAAUAUUGCACAAUGGGCGGAAGCCUGAUGCAGCAACGCCGCGUGCGGGAUGACGGCCUUCGGGUUGUAAACCGCUUUAGCCUGUGACGAAGCGUGAGUGACGGUAAUGGGUAAAGAAGCACCGGCUAACUACGUG